CAACGUGGAUAACCUGCCUUAUACUGGGGGAUAACAGCCAGAAAUGGCUGCUAAUACCGCAUAAGCGCACGGCGCCGCAUGGCGCAGUGUGAAAAACUCCGGUGGUAUAAGAUGGAUCCGCGCCUGAUUAGCUAGUUGGCGGGGCAGCGGCCCACCAAGGCGACGAUCAGUAGCCGGCCUGAGAGGGCGACCGGCCACAUUGGGACUGAGACACGGCCCAAACUCCUACGGGAGGCAGCAG
rnacentral:rRNA from 1 species